UACAGAGGUCCCGAGCGUUGUUCGGAUUCACUGGGCGUAAAGGGUGCGCAGGUGGUCGGGUAAGUCUGAUGUGAAAUCCCGCAGCUUAACUGCGGAAUGGCAUUGGAUACUAUUCGGCUAGAGGGUUGGAGGGGGGACUGGAAUUCUCGGUGUAGCAGUGAAAUGCGUAGAUAUCGGAAGGAACACCAAUGGCGAAGGCAGCCGCCUGGGCCUGAUCUGACACUGAGACACGAAAGCGUGGGGAUCAAACAGG
rnacentral:rRNA from 1 species